rnacentral:lncRNA from 1 species
UUUUUCAAGGUUUGAUUACAUGGCCAAAAGUGAAAACAACACACGUGGGAAAAAAGCAUGGAGCAUAUGCCACAGAUGUGCCAAGGAGAGGAGGUUUCCCCGAAGCCAGUUCCUCCCGGAAGCCACAGGUGUUUCUGAGCAGACCCAGGAUCUAAGCCCUGUCCUGUUUCAAUAUCUGAAGAAAGCUAUGUACCAAGUUCCGUCCAAGAUGGAUAAUCCAAACCUGAGAUUCUCCAAACCAUGAUUACUUCACAGGACUUUUUUCUCUUCAGGCCCCUGAGCAAACCAGCAGGUGCACCACAAGAUAGAGAGAUGUACUUGGUACAGAGAAGAUCUGGGUUCCCUGACUGGUGCGUGUGUGAGGCUGCUUCCAGGAACUGCAGGAAUAGACCUUUCCCAACCGCAGGAAUAGACCUUUCCCAUAAGCAAGUUGUCCUGUUGAUCCCGAGUCCAAGAAUGGCCCUGUCUUCCCAGGUAGAAGAGUACUUAUGUGCAAAGUCCCUGUUGAGGAUGAUCCUGGGAAUAUUUGAACUCCAAACUAUGCAGAGGAAUUGUUUGGGAGUGCUGGCUGGCAUGGACCAAAAGUCUGCCCAGGAGCACUCUGAAGGGGAGCUGAAUGGACAAUUGCAUUCCGUGCUUGGAAAUGGCUCUGGGCACCAUCCAAUUUACUAGCAUAGGCAUAACCUCAUUGUCUAAAGCAUCUUUGCUUCAGUCUUCACUGCUAAGGCCAGCCCUCAGGAAUUCCAGACCUUGGAGACAAGAGAGGAAGUCUGGAGAAAGGAAGACUCUCCCUUGGUGGAGGAGGAUCAGGUUAGAGAUCUUUUGUCCAAACCUGACAUCCAUAAAUCCAUGGGCCCCCAUGGGAUGCACCCACGAGUGCUGAGGGAGCUGGCGGAUGUUAUCGCUAGGCCACUCUCCAUCAUCUCAGAAAGGUCCUGGAGAUCAGGAGAGGUGCCUGAGGACUGGAAGAAAGCCAAUGUCACCCCGGUCUUCCAAAAGGGUAAGAAGGAGGAGCCAGGAAGAGACAGGUCUCUCAGCCUCACCUCCAUCCCUGGCAAGGUGAUGGAACAGC